rnacentral:rRNA from 1 species
UCCGCAGGAAUCAAUGGCCUUCUCCAUUACACUCCUCGGAUUCUUGAACAAGUUGGAGUAGUUAAUUUGUUUUCAAACAUUGGACUUGGCUCUCAUUCAACCGCAAUCCUCCUAAGUGCCAUAAAUGCUUUGCUCAUGCUGCCUUGUAUAACUGCUUCAAUGAUGCUGAUGGAUAUUUGUGGACGAAGAUUAACUCUGAGACUACUUGAACAUCAAACAUAA